GAGGAGGAGUGGGCAGCCAGUGUAGGAAAUCACCAGGAGUCUGUUUUCUGCCCAUUUGUCAGUCUGAUGAACAAGAAAAAUACGGGCAGGCUGGGUGAAGGAGAAAUGGAGAGUGAGGAGCACAAUCCUGCACGGCCAGGAGCAGCCCCAGUUAUCCACCUACAUGUGAGAGGCUGGGAUUUUGCUGACACUUUCUGGCUGGGAAUUGAAUGCUGCCUGAAUCAUCCAGCCAGGGCUAUUUGUUCAUAAAAGUGAUACUUGGCUGGAGGAGACGGAGGAGACCUCGGUCUUGCUCUGGGAUACGGUGGAGGAGGUCUCUUCAUCCCCAAAGGGGUUCUUGCCGCAGCAGAUUGUGGUGAUCAUGCAGUUACGGAACUGGGGAGGGGAGAGAAAGGACAAUGGUGGCACUGGGGGCAAGGAGGGACGUGCCACAGGACCUGGAUGGACUGAGAUCCUGCUGGGAAGGAGCAACGUGCCUGUGGAGCCCCCAGAUGUGGGUGUCUCACCUGUUUGUUCAUGAGCACGUAGAUGAUGGGGUUGUAGAGGGAGGAGCUCUUGGAGAAGAAGGCAGGCACUGCCAUCAGCGUGGCCGUGAAGUCGGCGCCCUUGUUGGUGAAGAUCCAGAACGCCACCACGGCGUAGGGCGUCCAGGCCAGCAUGAAGCCCAGCACCAUCAGGAUCACCAUCCGCGUCACCUCCUUCUCCGCCUUCUGGGUCGUGGCCGAUUCCUGCUGCUGGGCAGCUGCCUGUGCGCACAGAGGGUGGUGAGGGGCAGCUCUGCGCCCCAACCCGCAUCCCCCAAUCCUGCCUGAGCCACCCCCCUGUCCCCUCAGUCCCCUCCGGCCGUUACCUCGCGGACUUUGCAAACGAGGCGCCCGUAGGAGAAGAAGAUGAUGACGACGGGGAUGAUGAAGUG